AAGCGAGCCUGCGAAGGCAAGCGGAUCUCUUAAAGCUGUUCUCAGUUCGGACUGCAGUCUGCAACUCGACUGCACGAAGCUGGAAUCGCUAGUAAUCGCGGAUCAGCACGCCGCGGUGAAUACGUUCCCGGGCCUUGUACACACCGCCCGUCAAGCCAUGGAAGCUGGGGGGUGCCUGAAGUUCGUGACCGGAAGGAGCGACCCAGGGCAAAACCGGUGACUGGGGCUAAGUCGUAACAAGGUAUC
rnacentral:rRNA from 1 species